GUACCCGUGGCCGAAUGAUAUUGAUCCGAAUCUUGAGAGUGGACAUUUGAAGUAUUUGUCAAGCUUCAAGCCGUUGACGGUGAAACCCAAGCCGGUGACACUUGAGUUUGAGAAGCCGUUGGUGCAGCUGGAAAAGAAGAUAAUUGAUGUGCGGAAAAUGGCUGAUGAAACCGGUUUGGACUUCAGUGAUCAAAUCAGUCAAUUGGAAAUGAAGUAUCAACAGGCUUUAAAAGAUUUGUACACACAUUUAACUCCGAUACAACGUGUGAGCAUUGCACGUCAUCCCAAC
rnacentral:misc_RNA from 1 species